GAUGAACGCUGGCGGCGUGCCUAAUACAUGCAAGUCGAGCGAAGCGGGGACGGGUGAGUAACACGUGGAUAACCUCCUAUAAGACUGGGAUAACUUCGGGAAACCGGGGCUAAACCGAAUACUUAUAGAUGGAUCCGCGCUACAUUAGCUAGUGGGUAAGGUAACGGUUUACCAAGGCAAACAUGCAUAGCCGACCUGAGAGGGUGAUCGGCCACACUGGGACUGAGACACGGUCCAGACUCCUACGGGAGGCAGCAGUAGGGAAUCUUCCGCAAUUGGCGAAAGCCUGACGGAGCAACGCCGCGUGUGUGAUGAAGGUCUUCGGAUUGUAAAACUCUGUUAUUAGGGAAGCGGUACCUAAUCAGAAAGCCCCGGCUAACUCCGUGCCAGCAGCCGCGGUAAUUC
rnacentral:rRNA from 1 species